AACGAACGCUGGCGGCAUGCCUAACGCAUGCAAGUCGAACGAGACCUUCGGGUCUAGUGGCGCACGGGUGCGUAACGCGUGGGAACCUGCCCUUAGGCUCGGAAUAACUCCCCGAAAGGGGUGCUAAUACCGGAUAAUGUCUUCGGACCAAAGAUUUAUCGCCUUUGGAUGGGCCCGCGUUGGAUUAGCUAGUUGGUAGGGUAAAAGCCUACCAAGGCGACGAUCCAUAGCUGGUCUGAGAGGAUGAUCAGCCACACUGGGACUGAGACACGGCCCAGACUCCUACGGGAGGCAGCAGUGGGGAAUAUUGGACAAUGGGUGAAAGCCUGAUCCAGCAAUGCCGCGUGAGUGAUGAAGGCCUUAGGGUUGUAAAGCUCUUUUACCCGGGAUGAUAAUGACAGUACCGGGAGAAUAAGCUCCGGCUAACUCCGUG
rnacentral:rRNA from 1 species